AAAUUGAAGAGUUUGAUCAUGGCUCAGAUUGAACGCUGGCGGCAGGCCUAACACAUGCAAGUCGAACGGUAACAGGAAACAGCUUGCUGUUUCGCUGACGAGUGGCGGACGGGUGAGUAAUGUCUGGGAAACUGCCCGAUGGAGGGGGAUAACUACUGGAAACGGUAGCUAAUACCGCAUAACGUCGCAAGACCAAAGAGGGGGACCUUCGGGCCUCUUGCCAUCGGAUGUGCCCAGAUGGGAUUAGCUAGUAGGUGGGGUAACGGCUCACCUAGGCGACGAUCCCUAGCUGGUCUGAGAGGAUGACCAG
rnacentral:rRNA from 1 species